UACAGAGGGUGCGAGCGUUGUCCGGAAUCACUGGGCGUAAAGGGCGCGUAGGCGGGCCUCCAAGUCCGGGGUGAAAUCCUCCCGCCCAACGGGAGAAGAGCCUCGGAGACUGGGGGCCUCGAGGGAGGUAGGGGCGUGCGGAACUAUGGGUGGAGCGGUGAAAUGCAUUGAUAUCCAUAGGAACUCCGGUGGCGAAGGCGGCACGCUGGACCUCUUCUGACGCUGAGGCGCGAAAGCCAGGGGAGCAAACGGG
rnacentral:rRNA from 1 species